rnacentral:sRNA from 1 species
GCGCAUUCUUACCUGUCGGGGUGCGGCGAGUGUCUCACCGCUCUGCACUUCCAAGGACUCUUGUCAUCUGCCUUAGACGGGAAAUGCUGUUGCUGGAUUGCAACCCCGAGGUGGAUGGUCUGAAGCAUUUGCUGGAGACAGGGGCCUCGGUCAACGCACCCCCGGAUCCCUGCAAGCAGUCACCUGCCCACUUAGCCGCAGGAAGCGGCCUUGCUUGCUUUCUUCUCUGGCAGCUGCAAACGGGCGCUGACCUCAACCAGCAGGUAACUAGGUAACUGUUGCUGUGUACAGCCGUCCCCUCCAACCCAGACACAAACAUUUCUCAGACGCCAAGAGUUGUUUCAGCUGUUAAAAACAUGUCUAUAGCAGCGAUGUCCAACAGAAAUAUAAUGCAAGACACAGAUGUAAUUUAAGAGUUUUUUUCCAGUCUUGAUGUGAGGACAUGAGAAAUUUCAAGUUUUUAAGUAGCCACAUUAAUAAACGAAACAUGAAAUUUUAGUAUUUGACCCAAUUUGUCCAAAAUGUUAUCAGUUCAAUAUGUAAUCAAAGCAAUUGCUGAUUAUUUUACAUUUCCUUUUAUUCUGUGUCUUCACAAUCUGGUGUGACAGCGUAUCUCAAAUCAGACUAGCCACAUUUAAAAUACUCUAGCCUUAAGUGGCUGU